UACGGAGGGUGCAAGCGUUAGUCGGAAUUACUGGGCGUAAAGGGCUGGUAGGCGGCCAACUAAGUCGGAUGUGAAAUCCCCAGGCUUAACCUGGGAACUGCAUCCGAUACUGGUUGGCUUGAAUCCGGGAGAGGGAUGCAGAAUUCCAGGUGUAGCGGUGAAAUGCGUAGAUAUCUGGAGGAACACCGGUGGCGAAGGCGGCAUCCUGGACCGGUAUUGACGCUGAGGCGCGAAAGCCAGGGGAGCAAACGGG
rnacentral:rRNA from 1 species